UGGUGUAUAUAUUCCAUCGCAUAGAAAUAUAAAUUAUCACAAUUGCUAUUAAACUAAAGAAUUAUAAUUGAUUGAAGAAAUACAUAAAUGGUCAAGUAAACUAUUGAAGUACUUGAAUAUUGAAAAAGGGGGAUUCAAAGUUGAUAUAUAUAUUGGUUUAACUUCAACUCUUUAAAUUGUUUUUAUGUUUAUUAUUAAAGGGAAAAAGUUUAGUUCAUCAAGUGCCUCUAAUUCUUCUAUAAUUGACUCAAAUAACCCACUGUAUAUGCAUCCCUCUGAUAAUCCUAGAGCUGCAUUGGUACCCAUUCCUUUUGUCGGCAUUGGUUAUCACUCAUGGAGGAGAAGCAUUUUUUUUCUCAUUAUCAGUGAAAAAUCUCAUUAUCAGUGAAAAAUAAAUUGGGAUUCAUCACUGGAGAGUGCGCAAAACCUAAUCUUGAUCACCCUAUAUACAGGUUAUGGGUGCGAUGUGAAGAUAUUGUUACUUCAUGGAUUUUGACUUUUUUGUCGAGGAAAAUUACAUAUAGUGUUGAAUAUGUUAUAGACUCUGAGAAACUUUGACUAUAAUUAGAAGUAGAUAUGAGCAGGCUAAUGGUGCGAAAUUAUACCAAAUACAAAAGGAAAUUAAUGAUGUGUCUCAAGGAUCUCUUGACAUUACUGGUUAUUACACAAAACUGAAGAAACUUUGGGAGGAACUUAGUACUCUAGUUUAAAGGCUCUAUGUACCUGUAAUUGUAUUUGUGGAACCAAGGCUAAUAUUCACAAAGCAGAGCAAGAUAGGAGGUUAAUUUAGUUUUUGAUGGAUUUAAAUGAGGUGUAUACAGUGAUACGUGGUAGCAUAUUAAUGAUGAAUCACUUGCCCUCCAUGGCAGAAACUUUUUCCCUUCUAGUGCAAGAUGAGCAACAAAGGGAAAUCACGUCAUUUAGUCAUCUCAGCAUCGAGGCCACUGCUUUACAUACUCGCAGCAGUAGGUCUCCAUCUUACAAGACUAGCUACUCCAUAUCCAAUUAAUCUGGUCCUAUUCCAUACAAAUAAAAUUCUAUGACUAUUGCAAGAGGACUAGUCAUUUCAAGGAAAAAUAUUUCCUGCUCUAUGGUUUUUCUUCUGGAUCCAGCAACACUGCACAAGCUCAGCAAUAAAAUUCCAAUCAAAACUUCAAUAGACAACAAUAUCUUAUUCAGAGGAACAACAAUUUUCAUAACUCCAAACCAAGACACAGUAAUUCUCGAGGAUCUUCCAACUUCAAUAGGUACAAUAGAGGAAAUAAUAAUAGAACAGUAGCAAAUGCUCACUGUGCAGUGAAAUUAGGAACUGGUGUGGGGAUUCGAGAUGUACAUGCACCCGAGAAAUUGUAUAAUUUGAAUCUCACUAAGGAUCAAUACGGUAGAAUUCAAGAUGUGUUGAAGACCUUCCAGCACGAGCAUAUUAAUGACAGUUCUGGCCAUUCUGCACUUGUCAGUGGCACAAUUGAUUUUGCAGUUACUUUAGUCUGUACCUCCUCUAUUGAUUUUGGUAAAUUGUCUUAUGAAUGUUUCCAAAACAAAUCUGACUUAUAGAUAUUUAAUUCAGGAUCCUCGAAGCACAUGACCUUUAAUAUUCCACCCCUGCAUAACAUUGUCACUCUUCCUUACCUUCUAUUGGUAAUGUUGCCAAAUAGAUAUAAAGUCAAGGUAACUCAAGUUGGUACUGUGGCACUAGGACCUCUAAUUAUCUUGGAAAAGGCCCUUCAAUGAAGAGGCCUCUAGUGAUUGGUAGGGCUGAAGUUGGUCUCUAUUUCUUGUGUCCCAGGUGUCUGCAUACUUCUCAUUCAAAUCCUACAUCAACUGCUUGUUCUAGUUUGUCUUUGUGUUGUCAUUGUAACAAAUAAUAUUCCUCUUCUACUCUAGCUACUGAUUUACUUUUACAAAAACAGCACUGUACUUUGUUUUCAACUAAGCAGACAUCUUAUUUAGAUAAACCUGCUUCUACUA